ACGCACGCUGGCGGCGUGCUUAACACAUGCAAGUCGAACGGAAAGGCCCUGCUUUUGUGGGGUGCUCGAGUGGCGAACGGGUGAGUAACACGUGAGUAACCUGCCCUUGACUUUGGGAUAACUUCAGGAAACUGGGGCUAAUACCGGAUAGGAGCUCCUGCUGCAUGGUGGGGGUUGGAAAGUUUCGGCGGUUGGGGAUGGACUCGCGGCGUAUCAGCUUGUUGGUGGGGUAGUGGCUUACCAAGGCUUUGACGGGUAGCCGGCCUGAGAGGGUGACCGGCCACAUUGGGACUGAGAUACGGCCCAGACUCCUACGGGAGGCAGCAGUGGGGAAUAUUGCACAAUGGGCGGAAGCCUGAUGCAGCAACGCCGCGUGCGGGAUGACGGCCUUCGGGUUGUAAACCGCUUUCGCCUGUGACGAAGCGUGAGUGACGGUAAUGGGUAAAGAAGCACCGGCUAACUACGUG
rnacentral:rRNA from 1 species